AGAACGAACGCUGGCGGCAUGCCUAAUACAUGCAAGUCGAACGAACUCUUCGGAGUUAGUGGCGCACGGGUGCGUAACGCGUGGGAAUCUGCCCCUUGGUUCGGAAUAACAGUUGGAAACGACUGCUAAUACCGGAUGAUGACGAAAGUCCAAAGAUUUAUCGCCAAGGGAUGAGCCCGCGUAGGAUUAGCUAGUUGGUGAGGUAAAGGCUCACCAAGGCAACGAUCCUUAGCUGGUCUGAGAGGAUGAUCAGCCACACUGGGACUGAGACACGGCCCAGACUCCGUACGGGAGGCAGCAGGUAGGGAAUAGUGGACAAGUGGGACGAAAGCCUAGAUCCAGACAAUCGCCGCGUGAGUGAUGGAAGUCGUUAGGUAGUAAAGUCGUUACGUUUACCGGAGGU
rnacentral:rRNA from 1 species